GUCAGAUCCUUGGUUCCUUGCUCUUGCAAUACCCUGUCCUCUCCUAGUUCACACUGCAGAUGUAAUUGAUGACUUGGUUUGUCUGUCCCGAUUCGUCUCUAAAAUCCCUGAGGUCCCCUCUCUGCUGAUUCAGUAUUGCAUUCCCAGCCCCAAACACAGUGUCCGGCUUAUAGUGGGAGCUCAAUAUAGAGAAGGAAACGGGAUUCUCAGGAGGCGUCCAUAACAAGAUGUUAUCAUGUCCCCCACCCACAGGCACACGUGGCUCCCCAUUGCCCCCAGCCUGACAUUCCCAGUGCUCCCCCAGCUGCCUGCCAGUCUGAUCUGUCUGUCUAAAGCCCUGCAGUCAACAGCCACAUUGUUCCCCAAAUCCACUUUGCUUAAGCCGCCCCUUAGCUGGAGCUGUCCUUUCCUCUCCCCACCCCCCAUCCUGGCUGCCCGCAAACUGCCACCAGCCCUGGCUCAAAGUACCCCUCUGCUUAGACACUUUCCUGGUUUCCUCUAAGGAUCUAAAGUGGCUUCUUUAUGUGGAGUUAGCCUCCCCGAUAAGGAUGGGGGUCUCAGGCCUGCACACCCCCAGCAUGCCUGGUGCACCUUCCACAGCCCUCUGUGAAGUCAAAGUUGAAGAAAGAAAGGGUCCCCCCUGCCCCCCUCCCUGGACUAUUGGCAGGCUCGCUGACUCACGGAGACCGAGAUGGCAGAAGUCUGCAGAAGGAGGAGAUGUAGUGAUGUGAGAAAAGGUGGGAUGGUGGCAGAGGCAACCUAAGGUGACCCCAGUGAGUGAUGCUCUCGCAGAUUCCCCUCCCCCGGGCGCAGGCAGGAUCGGCAACCUGCUUUCAGCCAAUAGAACACGGCAAAGGUGAAGGGGCUUUGCAGAUGUAAUUAAGGUCCCAAACUGGUUGAUUUUGAUUUAUCAAAAGGGAGAUUACCUUGGGUGGGCCUGAUGUAAUCAAGUGAAAGCUCUUAAAAGAGGGACUGAGGCCCUCCCUGAGGUCAGAGAGAGCCUCCUGCUGGCCUUGAAGAUGUGUCCUGCCCUGCACUGAGGGGGCCUGGGUGAGGGCCAGUGGCAGGGACUGUGGGCGGCCUCUGGAGCUGAGAGCAGCCACUGGCUGCCGGUUGGAAAACCGGAACCUCAGCCCUAGGGCCGCAAGAACUGAAGGCUGCCAACAACCGUGUGACCUUGGAAGAGGCCCAUGAGGAAAGGUAGCCCAGCCGACACCUGGACUGUGAGACCCUGGGUAGAGGACCUGCACCCAGGCUCCUGGCCCGCGAAACCUCUGAGGUGGCCCCCUCCUGGGUGUGGAUAAUUUGGAAUCAGUUAAAAGGGAGUCUUGAUGCGUGGAUUUGGGUCCCCAAACUGCCACCUCCUUUGGCUCUUUCCUGACCCUGAAGAGAACCUGACCCGGAUGUACCAAGACCUUGCCGGAAGCCUCUAGCCAGAGCAGCUGGCCCUGGACUCCCACUGGGACACUGACUGGGAGAUUCUUAGAGCACUGAACGAUUGGCCCUCCACCUUCCCAGCGGCUCUUUGGGAAAAGAUGCCCAUUGCAUGAAGCGGGGCCUCUCAAGGAGGAGCCCCAGGUCACCUGUUGCAACAGAAUCGCCUGGGAGCUCCAAGGCCCAGCCCCAACCCAUACCCAAUGAGUCUGAAUCUCCAGGAGGUGCCCAGACAUCUGCACAUCCAGCAGGUUCCCAGCUUCACAUUGUAAGGCUCCACCUCUUUCCACCCCCAGGAUCUUCAGGGGCACAGUAAAGUGUCCACCAUGAGCUGCCUUCACCCCAGCCCUUGGGACCAUGUGGGGACCGGGUGGGAACUCUGGGCUCCUGUGACACUCAGACCAAGCCCCUCACAUUGCAGGGGCCCUGCUCAGCAUCCUGGAGGGGAGCAACCCUUCUGGGACCAGGAAAACCCAAUUUUGUCCUCCAUUUCUGUUCCUCCUGGGGGCUGUGAACCUCAGGCAGGGUCCCUCGGUCUGGGUCCCGUAUGAACUCCUCUUCACCUUUCUGGCCAGGUUAUCAGAAUGGGCAGGGUUGUAAGUGGUUCAGAGUUUGAGCUCUGGGGUCAGGCGGAGCCGAGUUCAGCCUUGGCACAUUCCCCUGCACCAGCCCGUGCCCUGGGGUGAACCCCUGGGCUCCCUUGGCCUCUUCUCAGCUCCUCACUGUGUCCCACCCCUCUGCCAUCUCCUCUUCUCCCCUCCAGCUAUGGGACGAUCUGUCCCGAGUUCACUUUCUUCUUUUCUAUUUCCUACUCCCAUGUCCCCAAACACAUCCCGCCCUACAGUUCCCCACCUCCAGGCCCUGCACGGGCCCUUUGCUCUGUUUGGCAUGCUCCUGCCCUCCUGCAUCCUGGCAGUCUAAACUUUAAGUGAGACCUGCAUGGAGCAGGGAGACUGGCCAGAAGUCUUAAUUAACUUCAAAAUUUAAAGCUGGAAGAGAGGGAUAUGAUUUGGCUCUGUGUCCCCACCCAAAUCUGAUGUCGAAUUGUAAUUCCCAAUGUUGGGGGAGGGACCUGGUGGGAGGUGAUUGGAUCGUGGGGGCAGAUUCCCCCCCUUCGUGUUCUUGUGAUAGUGAGUGAGUUCUCAUGAGAUCUGUUUGCUUAAAAGUGUGUAGCAUCUCCCCCUUUGCUCUCUCUCUCCUGCUGCUAUGUGAAGAUGUGGUUGCUUCCCCUUCACCUACCACCAUGGUUAUGUUUCCUGAGGCCUCCCAGCCAUGCUUCCUGCAUAGCCUGUGGAACUGUGAGUCAAUUAAAUCUGUUUUCUUCAUAAAUUACCCAGCCUCAGGUAGUUCUUUAUGGUAGUGUGAGAACAGACUAACACAGAGAGUUUUAAAUUCUUUAGUUGUAGGCCUUUGCCCAGGAUGGAGUAGCAGGGACUGUAUUUCCUUCCCCUUCAAAACUUUCAGACAGCUGGAGAGGAUAUAUGGAACAUCAGUUUCAAGGUACUGGACAUCAGGCAAUGAAGGAAAGAAAUU
rnacentral:lncRNA from 1 species